GUAAAGAGCAUGUAGGCGGCUUAAUAAGUCGAGCGUGAAAAUGCGGGGCUCAACCCCGUAUGGCGCUGGAAACUGUUAGGCUUGAGUGCAGGAGAGGAAAGGGGAAUUCCCAGUGUAGCGGUGAAAUGCGUAGAUAUUGGGAGGAACACCAGUGGCGAAGGCGCCUUUCUGGACUGUGUCUGACGCUGAGAUGCGAAAGCCAGGGUAGCGAACGGGAUUAGAUACCCCGGUAGUCCUGGCCGUAAGCGAUGGGUACUAGGUGUAGGAGGUAUCGACCCCUUC
rnacentral:rRNA from 1 species